CUUGGGGAUUAGUGGCGAACGGGUGAGUAACACGUGAGUAACCUGCCCUGGACUCUGGGAUAACCCCGAGAAAUCGGAGCUAAUACCGGAUAGGACCCUUCACCGCAUGGUGCGGGGUGGAAAGUUUUUCGGUCUGGGAUGGACUCGCGGCCUAUCAGCUUGUUGGUGAGGUAAUGGCUCACCAAGGCGUCGACGGGUAGCCGGCCUGAGAGGGUGACCGGCCACACUGGGACUGAGACACGGCCCAGACUCCUACGGGAGGCAGCAGUGGGGAAUAUUGCACAAUGGGCGAAAGCCUGAUGCAGCAACGCCGCGUGCGGGAUGACGGCCUUCGGGUUGUAAACCGCUUUUAGUAAGGAAGAAGCCGCAAGGUGACGGUACUUGCAGAAAAAGGACCGGCUAACUACGUGCCAGCAGCCGCGGUAAUACGUAGGGUCCGAGCGUUGUCCGGAAUUAUUGGGCGUAAAGAGCUCGUAGGCGGUUUGUCGCGUCUGCUGUGAAAACUAGAGGCUCAACCUCUAGCCUGCAGUGGGUACGGGCAGACUUGAGUGGUGUA
rnacentral:rRNA from 1 species